rnacentral:rRNA from 1 species
AUUAAAGUUGUUGCAGUUAAAAAGCUCGUAGUUGGACUUUAGGCAAGGCGGCCUGGUCACCCUCUGGGUGUACUGGGAUCGCUGCGCCUCACCUUCGGGGAGCUAGUCGUGCUUCGGUGCGCUAGGGAACCGAGCCUUACCUUGAGGAAAUUAGAGUGUUUAAAGCAGGCUUAUGCUUGAAUACGUUAGCAUGGAAUAACAUGAUAGGACUUUGGUUCUAUUUUGUUGGUUUGAGGACCAAAGUAAUGAUUAAUAGGGACAGUUGGGGGCAUUAGUAUUCAAUAGUCAGAGGUGAAAUUCUUGGAUUUAUUGAAGACUAACUAAUGCGAAAGCAUUUGCCAAGGAUGUUUUCAUUAAUCAAGAACGAAAGUUAGGGGAUCGAAGACGAUUAGAUACCGUCGUAGUCUUAACCAUAAACUAUGCCGACUAGGGAUCGGUGGAAGUCGAUUUUGACUCCAUCGGCACCUUACGAGAAAUCAAAGUUUUUGGGUUCUGGGGGGAGUAUGGUCGCAAGGCUGAAACUUAAAGGAAUUGACGGAAGGGCACCACCAGGAGUGGAGCCUGCGGCUUAAUUUGACUCAACACGGGAAAACUCACCAGGUCCGGACAUGGGAAGGAUUGACAGAUUGAGAGCUC